rnacentral:rRNA from 1 species
GCCUAAUACAUGCAAGUCGAACGAGUUCUGAUUAUUGAAAGGUGCUUGCAUCUUGAUUUAAUUUUGAACGAGUGGCGGACGGGUGAGUAACACGUGGGUAACCUGCCCUUAAGUGGGGGAUAACAUUUGGAAACAGAUGCUAAUACCGCAUAAAUCCAAGAACCGCAUGGUUCUUGGCUGAAAGAUGGCGUAAGCUAUCGCUUUUGGAUGGACCCGCGGCGUAUUAGCUAGUUGGUGAGGUAACGGCUCACCAAGGCAAUGAUACGUAGCCGAACUGAGAGGUUGAUCGGCCACAUUGGGACUGAGACACGGCCCAAACUCCUACGGGAGGCAGCAGUAGGGAAUCUUCCACAAUGGACGCAAGUCUGAUGGAGCAACGCCGCGUGAGUGAAGAAGGCUUUCGGGUCGUAAAACUCUGUUGUUGGAGAAGAAUGGUCGGCAGAGUAACUGUUGUCGGCGUGACGGUAUCCAACCAGAAAGCCACGGCUAACUACGUGCCAGCAGCCGCGGUAAUACGUAGGUGGCAAGCGUUAUCCGGAUUUAUUGGGCGUAAAGCGAGCGCAGGCGGUUUUUUAAGUCUGAUGUGAAAGCCCUCGGCUUAACCGAGGAAGUGCAUCGGAAACUGGGAAACUUGAGUGCAGAAGAGGACAGUGGAACUCCAUGUGUAGCGGUGAAAUGCGUAGAUAUAUGGAAGAACACCAGUGGCGAAGGCGGCUGUCUGGUCUGUAACUGACGCUGAGGCUCGAAAGCAUGGGUAGCGAACAGGAUUAGAUACCCUGGUAGUCCAUGCCGUAAACGAUGAAUGCUAGGUGUUGGAGGGUUUCCGCCCUUCAGUGCCGCAGCUAACGCAUUAAGCAUUCCGCCUGGGGAGUACGACCGCAAGGUUGAAACUCAAAGGAAUUGACGGGGGCCCGCACAAGCGGUGGAGCAUGUGGUUUAAUUCGAAGCAACGCGAAGAACCUUACCAGGUCUUGACAUCUUUUGAUCACCUGAGAGAUCAGGUUUCCCCUUCGGGGGCAAAAUGACAGGUGGUGCAUGGUUGUCGUCAGCUCGUGUCGUGAGAUGUUGGGUUAAGUCCCGCAACGAGCGCAACCCUUAUGACUAGUUGCCAGCAUUUAGUUGGGCACUCUAGUAAGACUGCCGGUGACAAACCGGAGGAAGGUGGGGAUGACGUCAAAUCAUCAUGCCCCUUAUGACCUGGGCUACACACGUGCUACAAUGGAUGGUACAACGAGUUGCGAGACCGCGAGGUCAAGCUAAUCUCUUAAAGCCAUUCUCAGUUCGGACUGUAGGCUGCAACUCGCCUACACGAAGUCGGAAUCGCUAGUAAUCGCGGAUCAGCACGCCGCGGUGAAUACGUUCCCGGGCCUUGUACACACCGCCCGUCACACCAUGAGAGUUUGUAACACCCGAAGCCGGUGGCGUAACCCUUUUAGGGAGCGAGCCGUCUAAGGUGGGACAAAUGAU